UGCUUUCUGUGAUGAAUCAUAAGGACGGUAUCUGUGAAAGGCUGCUCUUGAAGAAGUCCUCAUUCAUUGAUUACACAUCCUUAACUGAUCAUAUACUCUGAGCAAACA